ACAUAAACACUAAGAAAAAAUUUUUUAAGAAAAAAAAAAAAAAAGAACUGAUGUUUCCCAGCAGUGGCAGCUGUGUCUCUCAGCCCUUGAGGGGCACACCAGCGUUUCAGGAUUGAUUAGAGUAGUACAGGGUGAGGGUAUCCUCGUUACAGUCCCGGGCUGGUUUCACUGGCACCUAAGCCCCUUCUAGAAUCCUAUGCCUCGUCCACUAAGUGCAAGACCAGGGCUGCCUCCGUCCGUCCUCUUAAAGACAUUGUUUCCCAGGUAUCCCUGCACCAGAUGUGGCUUCAGGACUCCCUCCUCACGGGAGAAACACGAGUGGAAAUAGCACUCGAACGUCUGGGUGCUGCCAGUGUUGCUGGUCCAAGGACCACCCUUUGAGGACCACCGUCUUAGGGGAUUCACUCGGGGGACAUCCUUCUGCUGGAAACCCAGGUUGGAAAAACGCCACCGUAUCCCUCGGGAGUAUCUCCAGUGCCUUCCAGCACCGACAGUCGAAGGUUCUUCUGCAUAUCUGACCUGAAUCUCUGCUGCUGCGUUGCUCCUCGGCCAGGGUGGAGACAGUCCGAGGAUUCCAGGGACCCCACUGCCGAAGCCAAGCCUCUAAAAAAGCUCCACUGCACCACCUCCCUCGUAUCGCUGCUUGGUAAGGCCCCUGCGUCCCAACAUCCGUCCACCUGCCAGAGUCCACGCCUUUGCUCAGGGCUGGGCCUCUCCCUGGAAUAACGUUCUCUUUCGAGCCACGUCUGUCCAGCAUCCCGUCCUGCAUUUUAUGUGUGGUCAGCCCCCACCAUAGGCUCCAGGGCCCCCCUGGCAGAUCCGUGCGGCCCCCACAAGACUUCCCCUCCUCCUAGGCUCCCCCCAUCCCCACCCCACACCGCGCUGUACAUAGUGCUGAGGACUGGAAACCAAAAGGCCAGACCUGGGCUCAGACCCCAGCUGUGCCACUCGCUGGCUCCGGGCCCCGGCGGUCACGUUUGCAAAGCAGAAAGUCAGAGAAGGACCAAGGAGACCGUGCGCUGAGGGUGCACCACGCGGAAGGGAAAGAGCUGGUUGUCUCUGUGCCGUUGGCCACAGAGGCCCCCGCCCCGUAGGGGGCUACAGAGGCGGAUGAGCCCGGGGAGCGCCCUCCAGCCCUGCCGGGGGAAGCUGGCGAGUGUUUGCUGAGCACCCACUGUGUGGCAAGCCCCAGCACCAAGGACUGUCACAUGCCGUGGAUCCAUGAACAGCGGCCCUGAUGGGAGCCACCGUCUGUUGAGUGCUGUUACUAAGUCCGCCCUGCGCUAAAUGUCUCGCGGAAAUUAUCUUAGCAAAUCUACGCAGCCCCUGAGGCCUGGGAGCUGUUGCUGACCUACUUGGAUAGAUGGCGACAUGAGGCCCAGAGAGGGGACGAGACUGGCCCGAGAAGCCCGCGUGGAAGCAAUGAGACAGGUUUGGAACCUGAGUGCGGGCGGCUGCAGACGCUCAGACGUCCCCGUCCCGCCUCUAGAUGUCCCAGCCCCACAGGAAGGUCCCCACGCUCCCCGCCUGUGCCAGGCGGCUGCCAGCCCGGACCAGCCCCUGAGCGUCAAUCGUUACUUUCUUGGGAAUUUUGGUAGCUUGAAAUCAGCCACGGCAGGAAUGCGUACACCCUGGAUGUCAGCAAGUGCUACAAAUUUGGGCUUUUUUUGUGGUUUUUUAUCCCUGCAGCUUAGUGAGCAUCUAUCAGUACACCAUUGCCUCACCACUAGCGGUGUGUGCUCAGGGUGGCACCAGGGACCUCCUCGAACUCUUGAGAGCCCCCAGCCAAGCUGGGCAAGGGAAUGAGGGGGUAACAGGGAGGGACAUCACUGGGGUCACUGGUUAGGAAGAAUACUCUGGUGCCAGCCUGGGGACUGGGGGCUGGGGACUGGGGGCUGGGGGCUGGGGGCUGGGGCUGGGGACUAG